rnacentral:rRNA from 1 species
CACGUAGGGCGCAAGCGUUGUCCGGAAUUACUGGGCGUAAAGGGCUCGUAGGUGGCCAACUAAGUCAGACGUGAAAUCCCUCAGCUUAACUGGGGAACUGCGUCUGAUACUGGAUGGCUUGAGUUUGGGAGAGGGAUGCGGAAUUCCAGGUGUAGCGGUGAAAUGCGUAGAUAUCUGGAGGAACACCGGUGGCGAAGGCGGCAUCCUGGGCUAACACUGACGCUCAUGCACGAAAGCGUGGGGAGCAAACAGG